rnacentral:rRNA from 1 species
CAAGUCGAGGGGCAGCAGGUCCCGCAGCAAUGCGGGAUGCUGGCGACCGGCAAACGGGUGCGGAACACGUACACAACCUUCCUUUAAGUGGGGAAUAGCCCGGGGAAACCCGGAUUAAUACCCCGUAAUAUAAUGGAGUGGCAUCACUUUAUUAUUAUAGCUCCGGCGCUUGAAGAUGGGUGUGCGACUGAUUAGGCAGUUGGCGGGGUAACGGCCCACCAAACCUACGAUCAGUAACUGGUGUGAGAGCACGACCAGUCACACGGGCACUGAGACACGGGCCCGACUCCUACGGGAGGCAGCAGUAAGGAAUAUUGGUCAAUGGACGCAAGUCUGAACCAGCCAUGCCGCGUGGAGGAUGAAGGUCCUCUGGAUUGUAAACUUCUUUUAUCUGGGAAGAAAUGCAUUUUUUCUAAAAUGCUUGACGGUACCAGGUGAAUAAGCACCGGCUAACUCCGUGCCAGCAGCCGCGGUAAUACGGAGGGUGCAAGCGUUAUCCGGAUUCACUGGGUUUAAAGGGUGCGUAGGUGGGUUGGUAAGUCAGUGGUGAAAUCUCCAGGCUUAACUUGGAAACUGCCAUUGAUACUAUCAAUCUUGAAUACCGUGGAGGUCAGCGGAAUAUGUCAUGUAGCGGUGAAAUGCUUAGAUAUGACAUAGAACACCAAUUGCGAAGGCAGCUGGCUACACGAAUAUUGACACUGAUGCACGAAAGCGUGGGGAUCAAACAGGAUUAGAUACCCUGGUAGUCCACGCCCUAAACGAUGGAUACUCGACAUACGCGAUAUACAGUGUGUGUCUGAGCGAAAGCAUUAAGUAUCCCACCUGGGAAGUACGAUCGCAAGAUUGAAACUCAAAGGAAUUG